rnacentral:lncRNA from 1 species
CUGGAGCACGGUCGGGUUGGCCGGAGUUCUUGCGGAACUGUGUGCGCGCCUCCACCAUGGCCGCUGCAGUUGAGCUCCUUGCUUCGGUUGUCGGGAGCUCUGGUUUGGGAGAGCGCUGGGUGUUUUAGGUUGAGGCGUAGCUCUAGAGCUAGCUUGUGGGCAGAGAGUCGUCGCCAUUGAGCCACACUCCGCCGGGAACCCUAGCGCCGCCCGCUCCACCGCUAUCCUUUGUCGUUCGCCGCCAUCGCUCGCCAACCUACCCCAAUAACACCACCAGUAGGUGUGCAUGGUCGAGGCAAGUAUAGCGGUGUAGUCCCCGUCGAUGGAGACCUCGCCGCGAGUUCCCACCUCUACCCACCGGUGUAUCCAUGGUUUGGGCCGGGGGCACUGUGCUCAGGUCCGGGUCUGCGUGUCAGUGAGAAGGGUUAGGGCGGGGGUGAGUGAGAAAGGUUUCCAGAGGGGGUUUUCGGGAAGAAAAUUGAAUUAGAGUUUUAGAAAUUAGAUUUAAAUUCAAUUUUCAUAUUUAAUUCAUUAUAAUUUGUAGAAAUAUCCAAAAUUAGUGAAACCAACUUCAUUAAGUGUAUUUUAUUUUUCUUUAUGCAUUCAAAUUUCUUAAACCGUAGGAUAAGGUAAUAAAAUUUAAGUAUUUAUUUAGUGCCUUUAAUUAAGGUAUUUAAAUAAAUAUUUAACCUUUAUAAAAUGUAUAAAAUUUUGAAUAAUUUUUAUUAUUCAAAAAUGUUUAUUAAUCCAUAGAAAUUAAGUUUUAAGAUUAGAAAUUAUUUAUAAUGCUUUUCGAAAUAAAAGAAAAUGAUUAAGUUAGGUUAGUUAAGAACUUAAUUUGUGGUUAAUCUUUUAUGGGUAGAUUAGUGUUGGCUUGCAACUUUAUCAUGAGGAUAAGUUGUAUAGUCAAUGUUUCAAAAAGUUUUGCAUAUUCUAACUAUGGCAUGCAUCGUAUCGUAGAACCUGAAGCUCCGGAAGUGGAUUUCUUGGAUUUCUCUGAAAAACCUUUGGAAUUUGAGGAGGUUAUUGAGGUGGUUCCUUGUGUUGAAGGAUCUUCCGAAGAAACUAACUUUUUUGUGAACCAAGGCAAGCCCCGGAGCAUCUACACCUAUCUAAUUUCAGAAAUUGUUAUUCAUGUGUCCAAAUUAUUUGUUAUUUCCUUAUUUAUGCAUUAAGUCUAGGAGUUGAUUGAAACCUUAUUCUUAUGCAUAACCCUACCUUGUUGUAGGACAUCUUUGCCCCCUGUUCAAAUAU